UUAGGCUAGCCACCGAAGCCUCAGUCAGGGGAGUAUCCAAAGAUUCUUUGUCCAUUUUAAAUGUUCUGUAAUGGAUAUCUGUGCUCUGAAUAUUAUCUACCUCAAUCAACCCCUCUGAUGGUGAAUUUGGAUUAGUAACACCUUCCUUUUGAGAGCCUUACCGAGCUCUACCUUGUGAGGAACCUUCCCUAGUUUUGGUGGCUUCUAAUAAUUUUGGGCAACAACUGACAGAGGAUAAACUAUUUGCUAAGAUUGUAUCGGUUCGUAAAUACAAUCCAUGGCUUCUAAAGAACACUUUAUCCAAGGCCUGGAAGUUGGAAGCAGAACUGCAGGUAAGAAGGGAUCCAAAUGGCAUUUUCAUCUUUCAGUUUGCUAAUUGUCAAGAGAAGGACAAAGUCUAUGAUGAGGGACUGUGGUCAAUUGAUAACAACUUGAUUAUUUUGAACAAGUGGCCACCUGACAUUGCAAUACAAGAGGUAGAUCUUCAUCUACAUGGUUCUGGAUUUAAAUUCACGGUCUACCACCUACUUUCUGGAAUGAGGAUAGUGUUAAGAGGAUAGCCUCGCUCUUUGAAGAACUCAUCAGUUGGGAUAGACCAAAAUCAAGCAACAUAGAGUGGGUUUCUUUCCUAUGAAUCAAGGUCAGAAUUUAGGUAACUAAACCUCUUCUUACAAGUUUCUUUUAUCCAAAAGAGGAUGGGAAAAAGGAAUGGAUUAGUAUUCGUUAUGAAAGACUACCUGUAUUCUGUUUUCUUUGUGGAAUUAUUGGGCAUAUUGUCAGAAAUUAUGAGGAGAAGCAGAAGUUGGAAGCUGCUGGCCAAGCGGUUACACCUCCUUUCAAAUAUGGAUUAUGGCUGAGUGCUAAGAACCUAAUAUCCCAAGGUCCUAGAGAUAAUCUGCAGAUCUCAUCAAAUCCUUUUGUUCCAAUGGGUGAGACAUUACAAAAUCUUUUUAUUAUCACAGCCAACGCUCAAGGUUCAUCAUCGCAAACUCCGGCACUGAGUAAGUAGCCUCCUAAUGCUUCAGAUCAUCACCAAGCUCAUUCCCCAAGAAAAUCUGACAAUUAUUGCCAUGUAGAUCUGCCUAAUCUUCUCUCUCUACACAGGAGCAAUACGAUAGCAACCAUUCCAAACACUCUUCCUUUCUUCGAGGAUCCACAGUCUGUGACCACAGCUGCCAUUGUGCAUAAUGCUCCUAUAGAUGGGACAUUGAUCAGUCCGACAACUGCGCUUCGAGCGGCCACAACAAAUCAGGGAAGAAAGGAAGGGGACUCAAGCAACUAGAAACUUCUCGUUCCAUCAAAGAGGGAUGGAAGCUCUUCUUAUUUAGGCCCAAAGAUAGUGGAAUGCCCUUUUUCUAAGCCCAUCUCACCUCCAGUCCAGCCUACCUAUUUAGAGAGCCCAGAACAACAAUCUUUAUAGGCCAAAAAGAAAUGGGCGUUAAAGGUAACUCUCCCUCAAAUUCAAUUAAAAAAACCCAAAAACCUUGACCUUUCCUUUCUUGAGCCAAAGCCUUUGGAUUGUCCAGUGCACUUGGCUAGCAGUAUUUACAAACCUGAGAUAAUUAUUUCCCAGUCCUGCUGAAAUAGCAUCCAUCCUAAAAUUAAAAGUUCCAGCC
rnacentral:misc_RNA from 1 species